rfam:Schistosoma curassoni strain Dakar, Senegal genome assembly, scaffold: SCTD_scaffold0001461
AUCCAGCUGAUGAGUCCCGAACAGGAUGAAACGUACGUCCUGAAU